rnacentral:rRNA from 1 species
GCGGAGGGAUCAUUACUGAGUUACCGCUCUAUAACCCUUUGUGAACAUACCUACCACUGUUGCUUCGGCGGGUAGGCCGUCCCCUGAAAAGGACGCCUCCCGGCCCGGACCGGACCCCCCGCGGGACCGGACCCGGCGCCCGCCGGAGGAUAACCAAACUCUAUUGUAACGACGUUUCUUCUGAGUGGCAUAAGCAAAAUAAUCAAAACUUUUAACAACGGAUCUCUUGGUUCUGGCAUCGAUGAAGAACGCAGCGAAAUGCGAUAAGUAAUGUGAAUUGCAGAAUUCAGUGAAUCAUCGAAUCUUUGAACGCACAUUGCGCCCGCCAGCAUUCUGGCGGGCAUGCCUGUUCGAGCGUCAUUUCAACCCUCAAGCUCUGCUUGGUGUUGGGGCUCUACGGUCGACGUAGGCCCUCAAAGGUAGUGGCGGACCCUCCCGGAGCCUCCUUUGCGUAGUAACAUUUCGUCUCGCACUGGGAUCCGGAGGGACUCUUGCCGUAAAACCCCCCAAUUUUCCAAAGGUUGACCUCGGAUCAG